rnacentral:lncRNA from 1 species
CCAACCCUAUGCCGUAGCAUGUCAAGGAAUCCAACUACUAUGACCUGUCUAGUAGUGAUUAUCAACUUGUUGUUUAAUAUUCUGGUUCAAUCUCAGUUAGGACCUACACAGGUGAGGUCUGGCUUGUGCCGCCUAAGUGCCAGUGAUAGCUCCAGCAUUCCCACUCUAGGAAUGAGUCUAUCCUUCUGGGCCCCGUAGGUUACUCGAUACCGCACAAGUGAACAUAAGUCGCGUAGGCUAACUCCGGAGUGCCGGCUUGUAGGGAGCGACCCGUACAAGCAUGUGCGAAUGAGCACAAAUGGCAAGCAAGCAUGAUCUGUCUCAAGUACCCAAUCAUCAUGUCUCUAACAUGGUAACAGUCACUAGCAACCCAAAGGUCUAGUACUAUGUCUCAAUGUGAAGGUUUAACCGUUCAAUAAUUUCUAUGUCGAUGACCUUAGCUUUACGAAGUCCAAGUCUCAGGGUGAAGUUCUAGCAUUCACUAUGUUUAGUGUCUCUUUAUGACACUUAAAUAUUGCUAUAAUCUAAGCACACCUUGCAUUCUAUGCCUCUUUAUGGCACUACCUUAUUAGAUUCCCACAUGUUCCAAGCCUAAUGCCGCUUUAUGACACUAGCUUAUCCUAUCAAUAAUAGGUUAAUACGCGCAACAGUCAGCUUAGCAUAGUUCUCAUAAUGCUACAUGCAUGCACUUUCCAAUGCGACUACCCGCUUGCAUAACUCUCAUAAUAUUAAUAUGCACAUGCAAUUCACUUAUCAUUCAAGUUUAAUGUCCCAUUAUGACAAUAAGUUUAUUAAGUCUAUAUAUAUAUACCAAGCUUAAUGCCCCUUUAUGA